rnacentral:lncRNA from 1 species
AAAUCAUAGGUGAUAAUCCAGGAACAAACCUUGGCUUCCACUCAUAGCUACUUCGGAAGGAAACCAUGAACAUCUGAAAGAGUUAAAAUGGAUGCAAUCAAGUACCAUCUGCCAGUGUGACUCUUGCCCACUCUGCACAAGUCAUGGACCUUAUGAUGCUUAUAACAGAUGUAGCAAAAGGAAUGUAUGCUCAAGUCAGCACAAUGCUUGAUGAUUAGGCAGAUUGCAGGCCAGAAGUUAACAGUGUUCCUGUACAAAAGGGACAGGCUGCCAUUGAGAAGACGACCAAGAAUAUGCAGAAGAUGUUGGACAAUACUAAGGCUACCUCCACAGACAAGAGUACCUACAGAACCAGCAUUCAGUCACCAAUUGCUAUAGAGGGAGAAAACCUNUGGAGGACUUGCUGAUAGACCCUUGUGCUCUUUUGGAUGCCAUAAUUUCUUAAGAGGCAUGGCACCAGGUUUUGUAAUGUAUCUCAGAAAUUAAAGAGUAAGUACUUCCCACAAAGGGAAGAAAUCUUCACAAAUUUAAAUGCUUGAC